UACGUAGGGUGCGAGCGUUGUCCGGAAUUACUGGGCGUAAAGGGCUCGUAGGCGGUUUGUCGCGUCGGGAGUGAAAACCCAGGGCUUAACUCUGGGCUUGCUUUCGAUACGGGCAGACUAGAGGUAUGCAGGGGAGAACGGAAUUCCUGGUGUAGCGGUGAAAUGCGCAGAUAUCAGGAGGAACACCGGUGGCGAAGGCGGGUCUCGUGGGCCGAUGACUGACGCUGAGGAGCGAAAGCGUGGGGAGCGAACAGG
rnacentral:rRNA from 1 species